rnacentral:lncRNA from 13 species
GUUCUCCCGGCCGGCUUGGUUCUAAGGGUGUUGCAGCUUCUCAGAACUGCAGUUCUGCUUCCCAGCAGCUCUCUACGUGGAUGUCAUUAUUGUCUCUGUUUCCUGUGGGAGGAAAGAGAGGCACAGAGAGGUUAAGCGACUUGCCUGAGGGCACAUAGCCAGUGGCAACAGAGCUGGGACUCCUACCCAGGGAGUCAUCCCCUUGACCCCUAAGUUACAGACUAGUGUGGAGGAUGGGACAUUUGUGGAGUGCUCUACCCUCCCCUUUACCCUUUGUCCCUAGGGGAGGGACAGAAGUACUGAAAGAGCCAGAGGGGGCCAGGCCCGGUGGCUCAUGCUGUAAUGCCAGCACUUUGGGAGGCCGACACAGGUGGAUUAAAAGCAAACAUGGACAGUGUAUGGAACAGAACAACAAUAUUCCACAGCCUUUAGAGGUAACACGGACGUCUUCGAAGACAGUUUCAACUCUGAGGAGAGCUCAGGAUGCGACUUGUCUUCCCCUUGCCUCAGUUCCAGGUAUCCAGAUGUGAGCAUCUUUUGGGAGCCAUUAUCCAGCCUCUGACAGUUGGUGACUGCAGGACCAGGAGAUGCCCUUGGCCAUCUCUUAGGCGCUGGGCCACCUCUGACCUCUGUCUCCCUGCACUGUGCGUGGCCCACUGACACCUACAG